AACGAACGCUGGCGGCAGGCCUAACACAUGCAAGUCGAGCGAGACCUUCGGGUCUAGCGGCGGACGGGUGAGUAACGCGUGGGAACGUGCCCUUUGCUACGGAAUAGCCCCGGGAAACUGGGAGUAAUACCGUAUGUGCCCUUCGGGGGAAAGAUUUAUCGGCAAAGGAUCAGCCCGCGUUGGAUUAGGUAGUUGGUGGGGUAAUGGCCUACCAAGCCGACGAUCCAUAGCUGGUUUGAGAGGAUGAUCAGCACACUGGGACUGAGACACGGCCCAGACUCCUACGGGAGGCAGCAGUGGGGAAUCUUAGACAAUGGGGGAAACCCUGAUCUAGCCAUGCCGCGUGAGUAAUGACGGCCUUCGGGUUGUAAAGCUCUGUCUUCAGGGACGAUAAUGACGGUACCUGAGGAGGAAGCCACGGCUAACUACGUGCCAGCCGCCGCGGUAA
rnacentral:rRNA from 1 species